GGGGGAAUAUUGGACAAUGGGCGAAAGCCUGAUCCAGCCAUGCCGCGUGAGUGAUGAAGGCCUUAGGGUUGUAAAGCUCUUUUGUCCGGGAAGAUAAUGACGGUACCGGAAGAAUAAGCCCCGGCUAACUUCGUGCCAGCAGCCGCGGUAAUACGAAGGGGGCUAGCGUUGUUCGGAUUUACUGGGCGUAAAGCGCACGUAGGCGGAUCUUUAAGUCAGAGGUGAAAUCCCAAGGCUCAACCUUGGAACUGCCUUUGAUACUGGAGAUCUCGAGUUCGGGAGAGGUGAGUGGAACUGCGAGUGUAGAGGUGAAAUUCGUAGAUAUUCGCAAGAACACCAGUGGCGAAGGCGGCUCACUGGCCCGAUACUGACGCUGGGGUGCGAAAGCGUGGGGAGCGAA
rnacentral:rRNA from 1 species